CCUACGGGAGGCAGCAGUGGGGAAUUUUGCGCAAUGCUCGUAAGAGUGACGCAGCGACGCCGCGUGAAUGACGAAGGCCUUCGGGUCGUAAAGCUCUUUCGACAGGGAAGAAAAUGCCGAUAAGUAACUGUUUAUGUAUGUACGGUACCUGUAUAAGCAGCCCCGGCUAACUCCGUGCCAGCCGCUGCGGUGAUACGGAGGGGGCGAGCGUUGUUUGGAUUGAUUGGGCGUAAAGGGCACGUAGGCGGUGUUGUAAGUCAUUAGUCAAAGACUAGAGCUCAACUGUAGUAAGGCAAGUGAUACUAUAAUACUAGAGUAUAGGAGAGGUGUGCAGAAUUCGUGGUGUAGCGGUGAAAUGCGUAGAUAUCAGGAGGAAUACCGUUAGCGAAGGCAGCAAUCUGGCUGGAAACUGACACUGAGGUGCGAAAGCGUGGGUAGCAAACAGGAUUAGAUACCCGAGUAGUC
rnacentral:rRNA from 1 species